rnacentral:rRNA from 1 species
GACGAACGCUGGCGGCGUGCCUAAUACAUGCAAGUAGAACGCACAGUUUAUACCGUAGCUUGCUACACCAUAAACUGUGAGUUGCGAACGGGUGAGUAACGCGUAGGUAACCUGCCUGGUAGCGGGGGAUAACUAUUGGAAACGAUAGCUAAUACCGCAUAAUAUUGAUUAUUGCAUGAUAAUUAAUUGAAAGGUGCAAUUGCAUCACUACCAGAUGGACCUGCGUUGUAUUAGCUAGUAGGUGAGGUAACGGCUCACCUAGGCGACGAUACAUAGCCGACCUGAGAGGGGGAUCGGCCACACUGGGACUGAGACACGGCCCAGACGCCUACGGGAGGCAGCAGUAGGGAAUCUUCGGCAAUGGACGAAAGUCUGACCGAGCAACGCCGCGUGAGUGAAGAAGGUUUUCGGAUCGUAAAGCUCUGUUGUAAGAGAAGAACGGGUGUGAGAGUGGAAAGUUCACACUGUGACGGUAUCUGACCAGAAAGGGACGGCUAACUACGUG